AACGAACGCUGGCGGCAUGCCUAACACAUGCAAGUCGAACGAGAUCCUUCGGGGUCUAGUGGCGCACGGGUGCGUAACGCGUGGGAAUCUGCCCUUAGGUUCGGAAUAACAGUUAGAAAUGACUGCUAAUACCGGAUGAUGACGUUAAGUCCAAAGAUUUAUCGCCUGAGGAUGAGCCCGCGUAGGAUUAGCUAGUUGGUGUGGUAAAGGCGCACCAAGGCGACGAUCCUUAGCUGGUCUGAGAGGAUGAUCAGCCACACUGGGACUGAGACACGGCCCAGACUCCUACGGGAGGCAGCAGUGGGGAAUAUUGGACAAUGGGCGCAAGCCUGAUCCAGCAAUGCUGCGUGAGUGAUGAAGGCCUUAGGGUUGUAAAGCUCUUUUACCCGAGAUGAUAAUGACAGUAUCGGGAGAAUAAGCCCCGGCUAACUCCGUG
rnacentral:rRNA from 1 species